UACAGAGGGUGCAAGCGUUAAUCGGAGUUACUGGGCGUAAAGGGCGCGUAGGCGGUCAUGCAAGUGAGAUGUGAAAUCCCCGGGCUUAACCUGGGAACUGCAUUUUAGACUGUGUGACUGGAGUACUGUAGAGGACAGUGGAAUUUCCGGUGUAGCGGUGAAAUGCGUAGAGAUCGGAAGGAACACCAGUGGCGAAGGCGACUGUCUGGCCAGAUACUGACGCUGAGGCGCGAAAGCGUGGGGAGCGAACAGG
rnacentral:rRNA from 1 species